rnacentral:rRNA from 1 species
CUCAAGUUGAAGAUCAUCGGCGUUAAGCGUGAUUAAAGUUCUCUUAGAUUAGGGCCAAAUUAAUAUUUAGUUGUUUAAAGCUUAUUAUUAAGAAGAACACAAACGAAAGUUGCCCUAACCCACACACUUGAAUACACGACAGCUGGGGAACAAACUGGGAUCAGAUACCCCACUAUGCCCAGCCGUAAACAAUUAAUCCACAACCACAAGCGCCAGGGAAUUACGAGCCAAGCUUAAAACCCAAAGGAUUUGACGGUGUCCCACCCCCCUAGAGGAGCCUGUUCUAUAAUCGAUGAUCCCCGCUACACCCGACCAUUUCUUGCUUACAUCAGUCUGUAUACCUCCGUCGAAAGCUUACCAUGUGAACGCCCCCCACAGUAGGUUCAAUGACCCCCGUCAAUACGUCAGGUCAAGGUGCAGCUUAAGAAAUGGGAAGCGAUGGGCUACAAUUUCUAACCUAGAACAAACGAAAGGCUAUGUGAAAUCAUAGUCACGAAGGCGGAUUUAGUAGUAAAAAGAAAAUAGAGUGUUCUUUUUAACCUGGCUCUGGGACGCGUACACACCGCCCGUCGCCCUCUUCGAUAGUGCUAACCCACAGUCCAUAACCUAUUUAUACGUCUGAGAAGAGGCAAGUCGUAACAUGGUAAGUGUACUGGAAAGUGCACUUGGUAUAUUA